rnacentral:rRNA from 1 species
GUUUGUUUGAAGUUAUAAAGAAUUUGACCUGCCCCCUGAUUAACUAUUAAAGGGCCGCAGUAUUAUAACUGUGCAAAGGUAGCAUAAUCAUUAGGUUUUUAAUUGAAAUCUCGUAUGAAUGGUUGGACAAAAGAAAGACUCUCUUUAUAUUAAGUUUUGAAUUUAACUUUUAAGUGAAAAGGCUUAAAUAUUCUAAAGGGACGAUAAGACCCUAUAAAACUUUACAUUAUCAUUAAUUUUGAUUGAAUUUAUAAAAUAAGAAUUUUAUUUGAUCAUCUGUUAUGUUGGGGAGACACAAGUAAAAUAUUUUUUUUAACUGCUUGAUAGUUAUACAAUUAUUAGUGAGUAAGUAGAAGAUCCUUUUUAAGAUUAGUAGAUUAAGUUACUUUAGGGAUAACAGUGUAAUUUCUUUUGAGAGUUCUUAUCGAAAAAGAAGGUUGCAACCUCGAUGUUGAAUUAAAAUAUCUAUAUAAUGGAGAGGUUAUAUAAGAAGGUCUGUUCGACCUUGAAAUUUUUACAUGAUUUGAGUUCAAACCGGUGUGAG